UAGAAAACACGGCUUAUUGUAGAUGC
rnacentral:piRNA from 1 species